UCAUCAAUCGGUGAUAUAUUGUAUAGGAAGCCACAGCCAUUAUAAAGGCGGCGUCUAUUAUUAGUAUAUCUUUUUUUGGGUGCAAAAAGGAACUCGAUUUUAUUAAAAGUUAACCAACAGUUCAGUACAAAAGUUCUCCAUAUGCAUCAUUCGAACAAACCUAAAGGUGGCAUGGUACAACUAGACAAAAGAUCAGCACUUGUGUAUCGAUUCUUCUCUCAAAAGACGUACUUGAUUGUCCCUCGAGUGUCCUGCAGUAAGAAACAAGAGUAGAUAGCAAAAUUUUAUUAUUAGACUCAUUAUUUAUAAGACUAAGGCUACGUCCGGGAUUACUUGUUGAGUCCCAAAAGCACUUUUGGGCUGCAGAAGCAACCCUAAAUACGGUGUGUUUGGGAUGUAAAAACACUUUGGAGAAAUGCUUUUAGAGACAAAAGAAAAAGUUAGAGAAAGGUGCUGUGGCUUUUGGGUUUUGAGAUGUUAAAAUAUCAUUUAAACCCUUAUUAUCUUCGUUCAACCAAAGUUGUUGGUUAUAUGCAACAUACAUUUUCUCUCUCCUGUUUCACCAAGAAAUUGUAGAGCAUGUUCUUCAGCUGUCAUUAGUGGCUCAAUCAACUCCCUCAU
rnacentral:lncRNA from 1 species